rnacentral:rRNA from 1 species
UACGAAGGGGGCUAGCGUUGCUCGGAAUCACUGGGCGUAAAGCGCACGUAGGCGGCUUGCUAAGUCAGGGGUGAAGUCCUGGAGCUCAACUCCAGAACUGCCUUUGAUACUGGCGAGCUUGAGUCCGGGAGAGGUGAGUGGAACUGCGAGUGUAGAGGUGAAAUUCGUAGAUAUUCGCAAGAACACCAGUGGCGAAGGCGGCUCACUGGCCCGGUACUGACGCUGAGGUGCGAAAGCGUGGGGAGCAAACAGG